UUUCCGUAGGUGAACCUGCGGAAGGAUCAUUAUUGAAUAAACCUGAUGUGGCUGUUAGCUGGCUUUUCGAAGCAUGUGCUCGUCCGUCAUCUUUACCUCUCCACCUGUGCACAUUUUGUAGUCUUGGAUACCUCUCGAGGCAACUCGGAUUUUAGGAUCGCUGUGCUGUACAAGCCGGCUUUCCUUUCAUUUCCAAGACUAUGUUUUUAUAUACACCAAAGUAUGUUUAAAGAAUGUCAUCAAUAGGAACUUGUUUCCUAUAUAAUUAUACAACUUUCAGCAACGGAUCUCUUGGCUCUC
rnacentral:misc_RNA from 1 species